CGGGACGGGUGAGUAAUGUCUGGGAAACUGCUGAUGGAGGGGGAUAACUACUGGAAACGGUAGCUAAUACCGCAUAACGUCGCAAGACCAAAGAGGGGGACCUUCGGGCCUCUUGCCAUCGGAUGUGCCCAGAUGGGAUUAGCUAGUAGGUGGGGUAACGGCUCACCUAGGCGACGAUCCCUAGCUGGUCUGAGAGGAUGACCAGCCACACUGGAACUGAGACACGGUCCAG
rnacentral:rRNA from 1 species